GCCCUGGGGGCUUGAUCUAUUUAUACAGGAGAAAUGCUCCACUGGGCUGCUCCUGUGGAGAAACCUAGACCUUUGGUGAUUUCCUCUAAUGAUACUGCUUCCUGAGAGCUGGGACAAAAGCAACCAAGUCCUUGCCUGGCACGGCUGACAGAUGGACAGCCAGUUAUGAAAGCUACUAAGCAACAGCACAAACAUUUCCACUGUCGGAAGUUCUGGACUAGAGAUCAGGAGACAAGAAUUCUGAACAGUGGUUUCCUUAACAAGUUGUGUUGGUGAGUACAUCACACAAUAUUUUCCUGGACUUCGGAAAUGAAAGCACCAGUUCUUGACUUUUCUGAGCAUGAGGGCUCCUGUGUAAAAUUAAUUUUAUGAUUUCUUUGUACCACAUCCACCCUGAUAAUAAGAACUGUAUGUUUUACAAUGGCUGACAGAAGAAAUACAACCUGAUAAAAAGCUACUAUGAAUUCAA